rnacentral:other from 1 species
ACCCUGCGUAGUGCGUAAAGACAGAAUUUUUAGAACCAACACACAAUAAGAGGGGCCAAUCUCUGAAUAUGGCGUGCAAACUUACACAAUUUUGUAGUAAGAAGCCCAGUAGUAUUUAGGUAGGCACCCACCUGUUUUUAGGAGCAGGUCCUUAAAAUUCAACACAUCUGACGGCUAAGGCGGGGAU